rnacentral:rRNA from 1 species
UACGAAGGGGACUAGCGUUGUUCGGAAUUACUGGGCUUGAAGCGCACGUAGGCGGCGUUGUAAGUGUCGGGUGAAAUCCCACGGCUCACCCGUGGAACUGCCCGGCAUACUGCGAUGCUAGAGUGUGGUAGGGGAGAGCGGAACUCCUGGUGGAGCGGUGAAAUGCGUAGAUAUCAGGAGGAACACCGGUGGCGAAGGCGGCUCUCUGGUCCACAACUGACGCUGAGGUGCGAAAGCUAGGGGAGCAAACGGG